rnacentral:rRNA from 1 species
AUUGAACGCAGGCGGCAUGCUUUACACAUGCAAGUCGGACGGCAGCACAGAGAAGCUUGCUUCUUGGGUGGCGAGUGGCGAACGGGUGAGUAAUAUAUCGGAACGUACCGAGUAAUGGGGGAUAACUAAUCGAAAGAUUAGCUAAUACCGCAUAUUCUCUGAGGAGGAAAGCAGGGGACCUUCGGGCCUUGCGUUAUUCGAGCGGCCGAUAUCUGAUUAGCUAGUUGGUGGGGUAAAGGCCUACCAAGGCGACGAUCAGUAGCGGGUCUGAGAGGAUGAUCCGCCACACUGGGACUGAGACACGGCCCAGACUCCUACGGGAGGCAGCAGUGGGGAAUUUUGGACAAUGGGCGCAAGCCUGAUCCAGCCAUGCCGCGUGUCUGAAGAAGGCCUUCGGGUUGUAAAGGACUUUUGUCAGGGAAGAAAAGGCUGUUGCUAAUAUCAAUAGCUGAUGACGGUACCUGAAGAAUAAGCACCGGCUAACUACGUGCCAGCAGCCGCGGUAAUACGUAGGGUGCGAGCGUUAAUCGGAAUUACUGGGCGUAAGGCGAGCGCAGACGGUUACUUAAGCAGGAUGUGAAAUCCCCGGGCUCAACCUGGGAACUGCGUUCUGAACUGGGUGACUAGAGUGUGUCAGAGGGAGGUAGAAUUCCACGUGUAGCAGUGAAAUGCGUAGAGAUGUGGAGGAAUACCGAUGGCGAAGGCAGCCUCCUGGGAUAACACUGACGUUCAUGCUCGAAAGCGUGGGUAGCAAACAGG